rnacentral:rRNA from 1 species
UUUGGGUGGCGGACGGGUGAGUAACGCGUAAAGAACUUGCCUCACAGCUAGGGACAACAUUUGGAAACGAAUGCUAAUACCUAAUAUUAUGAUAAUAGGGCAUCCUAUAAUUAUGAAAGCUAUAAGCGCUGUGAGAGAGCUUUGCGUCCCAUUAGCUAGUUGGAGAGGUAACAGCUCACCAAGGCGAUGAUGGGUAGCCGGCCUGAGAGGGUGAUCGGCCACAAGGGGACUGAGACACGGCCCUUACUCCUACGGGAGGCAGCAGUGGGGAAUAUUGGACAAUGGACCAAGAGUCUGAUCCAGCAAUUCUGUGUGCACGAUGAAGUUUUUCGGAAUGUAAAGUGCUUUCAGUUGGGAAGAAAAAAAUGACGGUACCAACAGAAGAAGUGACGGCUAAAUACGUGCCAGCAGCCGCGGUAAUACGUAUGUCACGAGCGUUAUCCGGAUUUAUUGGGCGUAAAGCGCGUCUAGGUGGUUAUGUAAGUCUGAUGUGAAAAUGCAGGGCUCAACUCUGUAUUGCGUUGGAAACUGUAUAACUAGAGUACUGGAGAGGUAAGCGGAACUACAAGUGUAGAGGUGAAAUUCGUAGAUAUUUGUAGGAAUGCCGAUGGGGAAGCC